ensembl:snRNA U2 U2 spliceosomal RNA
AUCGCUUCUCUGCCUUUUGGCUAAGAUCAAGUGUAGUAACACUAUUUUAUAUAGAUGCAUAGUGUUUCAAAAUAUGAACUAUAUUAUCCAUU